rnacentral:rRNA from 1 species
UGUUGGAAGCUUGCUUCCGAUGACGACGACCGGCGGAUGGGUGCGUAACGCGUAUGCAACUUGCCUCACAGUGGAGGAUAACCCGGAGAAAUCCGGACUAAUACCCCAUACACUCUCAAGUACACCUGUGUUUGAGAGGAAAGAUUUAUCGCUGUGAGAUAGGCAUGCGUCCUAUUAGGUAGUUGGUGAGGUAACGGCUCACCAAGCCGACGAUAGGUAGGGGUGCUGAGAGGCAGAUCCCCACAUUGGGACUGAGACACGGCCCAAACUCC